rnacentral:rRNA from 1 species
CAGUCUAGUAUAGCAUUAUACAGCGAAACUGCGAAUGGCUCAUUAUAUAAGUUAUCGUUUAUUUGAUAGUACCUUACUACUUGGAUAACCGUGGUAAUUCUAGAGCUAAUACAUGCUAAAAAUCCCGACUCCGGAAGGGAUGUAUUUAUUAGAUUAAAAACCAAUGCCCUCUGGGCUCCUUGGUGAUUCAUAAUAACUUUUCGAAUCGCAUGGCCUUGCGCCGGCGAUGGUUCAUUCAAAUUUCUUCCCUAUCAACUUUCGAUGUUUGGGUAUUGGCCAAACAUGGUCGCAACGGGUAACGGAGGGUUAGGGCUCGACCCCGGAGAAGGAGCCUGAGAAACGGCUACUACAUCCAAGGAAGGCAGCAGGCGCGCAAAUUACCCAAUCCCGAUUCGGGGAGGUAGUGACAAUAAAUACUGAUACAGGGCUCUUUUGGGUCUUGUAAUUGGAAUGAGUACAAUUUAAAUCCCUUAACGAGGAACAAUUGGAGGGCAAGUCUGGUGCCAGCAGCCGCGGUAAUUCCAGCUCCAAUAGCGUAUAUUAAAGUUGUUGUGGUUAAAAAGCUCGUAGUUGAACCUUGGGCCUGGCUGGCCGGUCCGCCUCACCGCGUGCACUGGUCCGGCCGGGCCUUUCCCUCUGUGGAACCCCAUGCCCUUCACUGGGUGUGGCGGGGAAACAGGACUUUUACUUUGAAAAAAUUAGAGUGCUCCAGGCAGGCCUAUGCUCGAAUACAUUAGCAUGGAAUAAUGAAAUAGGACGUGUGGUUCUAUUUUGUUGGUUUCUAGGACCGCCGUAAUGAUUCAUAGGGACAGUCGGGGGCAUCAGUAUUCAAUUGUCAGAGGUGAAAUUCUUGGAUUUAUUGAAGACUAACUACUGCGAAAGCAUUUGCCAAGGAUGUUUUCAUUAAUCAGGAACGAAAGUUAGGGGAUCGAAGACGAUCAGAUACCGUCGUAGUCUUAACCAUAAACUAUGCCGACUAGGGAUCGGACGAUGUUAUUUUUUGACGCGUUCGGCACCUUACGAGAAAUCAAAGUGCUUGGGCUCCA